rnacentral:tRNA from 1 species
GGUCCCGUAGCUCAGCAGGAUAGAGCGUCGGUUUCCUAAACCGCAGGUCGUUGGUUCGAAUCCAAUCGGGAUCACCA